rnacentral:lncRNA from 1 species
AUAAUAAGAAAUAAUAUCUAUAAUUAUAAUAAAAAUAAUAUUUUAAAUACAUAAUUAAUAAAACAAUACAUGUAAAUGUAUUUUUCACAUUGUAAUACCCAAUUUUACUAAGCCUAAAGCCCAAACCCAUUACAAGCCCAAGUCACUAACCCAAAUCCCAGCCUAACCCUAAGCAGUGGCUAACAGCAGAUUGGCGCCGCAGCAACUGCCUACGCCGUAGCAACCGUUCUACUGCCCACGUUGUGCUUGCACGACACACCUCCUUCACGUUCUCCUUCACCUGCAAUAAACCACAGACAGUAGGUGUAACUGAGAAGGGAACAAAUUGUAAAAAAGGAUUUGGCUAUAAAAAGCCAAUGAAUUUUUGUAAUAGGGGUUAGCAAAUUUUGUAUUGAAAUUAAAGAAAAUAAAACAGAAAAAAACAGAAAAGCAAGGAUUUUGAAGGUGAUUUUCUGGGUCUAUUUUUUUUCUUACUCACUGAUUUCUUUGUUUGUUUUUUUUUCUUUUCCUUUGCACACCAAACAAAAAUAAAAGGAGGAGGAGAAAUCCUUACCAAAAGAGGCGCGCUGUCGACAUCUUUGCUUCUCUUCGUCCAAAUCGAAGUUGGAAGGGGGGAGUUUGGCUUGAAAACAGAGGAGAAGGUGGAGCAGUCCUUGUGGUGGCUGCUGUUGCAGAAAAGGGAAAUGAUUUUCGGGUUUUAAAAUUGUAACACCCCCUAACCCCAAAUCGUCGCCGGAAUAGGAUUACGAGGCAUUACCGGACAUAUCAAACAAUUUACAAAUAAAUCGAAAUAAAUAACCAACAUAUUAAAAUAAUUCAUAAAUUGUUAUAAAUUUGUACUAAUUGAUUUCAUUCAUUUUUUUUUUAUAAAAAUUUCGGCAGCAUUUCGACUUAUUUUUACAUUAAACCCCCUGCAAAAUUUCAAACAUAACCAACCCAAUUUCAGUAUUUCAACCAAUGCAUUUAUAUACUUAAUCCUACUUGACAUAUAGACAUAACAACUUAAGUAAAUAAAAUCCUAUUAUCAUUUCUAAUUAACACAUAAAACUAACUAAGCCAUUUCAACUUGAUACCAAUGCUAUAAAAAUAACUUAUACCAUUUUUCUAAUAUAAUCAUCAAAACACAUAAUAUCUUACUUUAUAACAAAACUAUAUAACAUGUCAAAAUAACUAUUAUAAAUCCUAUGUACAUGCCACUUUCUCUUAAAGGAAGAAAACAUCACCAAAAUCUUUAUGUCGGAGUCGGGAUUGUCCUGGAUACUGAACCGAGACUCUAACCCCUUUUCAACCUGCGCACGGAAACAACCGUACGCUGAGUAUUUUAUACUCAGUGGUAUUACUAUAAAUUAAACUAUUUAAUAAUAAUAAUAUUUCAAAUAUUGACCAUAGUCUUUAAAAAUCACUUUAAACUAAAUAUAAAUAUUCAUAUAUCAUUCCAUAAAUCUUAAAUUUAUAUAUUUAAAUAUUUACAUACUAAAUCAAUUCAUAAUUUAUAUCAUACAUNNNNN